CAGUCGCCACGGUAAAACGAAGGGGGCUAGCGUUGUUCGGAAUUACUGGGCGUAAAGGGCGCGUAGGCGGCCAUUCAAGUUAGAUGUGAAAGCCCUGGGCUCAACCUAGGAAUUGCAUUUGAUACUGUUUGGCUUGAGUUCGGGAGAGGUGAGUGGAAUUCCCAGUGUAGAGGUGAAAUUCGUAGAUAUUGGGAAGAACACCAGUGGCGAAGGCGGCUCACUGGACCGACACUGACGCUGAGGCGCGAAAGCGUGGGGAGCAAACAGGAUUAGAUACCCCUGUAGUCCCUGUCUCUUAUAU
rnacentral:rRNA from 1 species